UGUUGUUCUGCUUCAUUAUUAUCACUGACUUUCCUUGACAGGUUCUAUUGUGAAGAUGGAUUACAGAUCCAUCAAUGCAACGUCUUUGAUUCCAAACUAUACUGACAGCAAUAACAGCUUUAACCACAAUAACUCUUCCAACAAUACAUUCCAAAAUAGUACCAGCUCUCCAAAUCCAUUUGAAGAAUCAUUCUGCUGGCAUUAUUAUGAAACGGUGAAACUGUUUACCAUAAUAUUCAUCUCCAUCUGGGGUCUUUUAUCGCCGCUGGCCAUCUACUGUCUCUACUCUCAGAUCCGAAGUGAUCAUGUCGUUCCUGUUUUCAUCAUCAACCUUCUAAUUUCAGACAUCAUUCAGAUUUGCUGUAUGAUUGUUCAAGUGGCAAAUGUAGAGGACUAUUUCAUAAAUUAUUUAGUCAUUUAUUAUCUCUACAACUGUGGUGUGCUGGCCAGUGUUUUCUUCAUGACCUCCAUUGCCAUGGAAAGGUAAAUUAGUUUUUUAUUUUGCUUUUUUGCUAAUGUUUCUCUUUGUAUUCCUUUGUUCUGUAAUUUUGCUUUUGAAUUACAGGUAUCUGCUGAUUGCUUGGCCUUUUUGGUACAGAUUCCAGCGAAAACUCAAGGUUUCUGCAUCAGUCAGUGUUGUGAGCUGGAUCCUUUCUGUUUUUAUUGGUUUAAAUAAUGGAAAGUGGCUGGGACCCCUUCUGGUCCUUCCCAUCCCCCUGUUAAUAUUCUUCCUUGUGCGCAGUAUCAAAGCUCUGUCUACAGCCCAGAAUGUCCCACCUGAUGAAAGACGACAAAUUAUAGUUGUUUUAACUGUGGUGUUGUUUGUUUACGUACUGACAUUCUUACCACAAAUUCUUAUGGAGUUUAUGUUGUGGGGAGGGUGGUGGUGGUUGGAUUUCAACAGUACCACAUUUGUAAACUUGAUCAAUGUGUCCUGUACUUUAAUCAAGCUAAAUCCUCUGGCAGACUUGCUUCUAUACCUUAUUAUAAAGAAGUGGCUCUUUGACAAACUGCUGGCCUUCCUGUGUUGUUGCAGAAAGAUUAACAAUAGGAACCAGCAGACCAACAGCAUUACAGCAACAACAUGUAGCUGGUCGGCUUCUCAGGGGCAGAAAGAAGCAGAGAAUAAUUCCUGAAAGGUAAAAUUAAGACUAAAGACAAACACAUCAAAUUCUGUACAUAAGCAAUAAUGCAUCUAAUAUUUUAAAAAAGCAGCCUGCAUAUAAAAACUGUUUUUAUGACCAAAUCAACUAUUAAUCUUUAGAAAGAUGUAAAUACUUUAUUAGUCAAAACAUGUCUAAAAUUUGCCUAAAAUGCUUUUACUUUUAUAAAAAACAACUGUUUUUUAGGAAAACUACAAAUGUUAAAAAACUAUUAACAUAUUUUUUAACUUGACCGUGACACUGGGUCUCUAUUUAGAAAUCAUUUAUCUAAGCCUUUUAUUUUUUAGAAAAUAUAUUUUUGUGUUUCUUCUGUAGAGUUUUUACUGUGAUGGAAGUAACUGGUACAAUUAUACACACAACAGCUCUGAGAACAUAAAAACAUGCAUAAAUAUGAAAUUGUAAAAAAGAAAAAUGCAAAAUAACCUACAGAUUUCAUAUAAUUUAAAUAGUUUUUUAACCUCAACAUGCAACACAGUAUGACUGACUGCAUAACUGGUUGAUUUUAACGUUUGUGAAACUGUAUUUCACACAGAAAAUAAAAAAUAAAUAAAUAAAUAAAAAAUUUUAUUAGUGAGCAAAAAGGAAACUUAAAUGGGGAUUACUGGAACAGUAACACAAGUAACCAGUAAUGAGCAGCUACAUCCUGUGAGGUUUUAUAUAAAGGAAAGAUUCAGGAGUGACAUCUGAUGCAGGUCGGCUAAUCAAGAGGAUUUGGAACAGCUGUGGAGGGAAAAUGAGAAAAGAUGGGAAUAUUUAAUAAAUAUAGAGAAUUCAGAUUGACAUAAAAGAAACUCCAGACCAAGGAGAAAAAUAUUAAUACUGAUCUGAGAGGAAAAACUAAAAUAAACCGAGAACAGAACACAAGAGAUGAACAUAAACUAUUAACUCGUAUGGAAACACCUUACUAAUAAUAAUAAACAGAGGGUGUUUAUACAGGCGUAACAUUUUAAACAUACUUAAA